rnacentral:rRNA from 1 species
UGGGGAAUAUUGGACAAUGGGCGCAAGCCUGAUCCAGCAAUGCCGCGUGUGUGAAGAAGGCCUUCGGGUUGUAAAGCACUUUUAUCAGAAGCGAAACGCUGUCGGCUAAUACCCGGCGGAACUGACGGUACCUGAGGAAUAAGCACCGGCUAACUUCGUGCCAGCAGCCGCGGUAAUACGAAGGGUGCAAGCGUUAAUCGGAAUUACUGGGCGUAAAGCGUGCGUAGGCGGUUUCUUAAGUCUGCUGUGAAAUCCCCGGGCUCAACCUGGGAAUGGCAGUGGAUACUGGGAGGCUAGAGUGUGUCAGAGGGUGGUGGAAUUCCCGGUGUAGCGGUGAAAUGCGUAGAGAUCGGGAGGAACAUCAGUGGCGAAGGCGGCCACCUGGGACAACACUGACGCUGAGGCACGAAAGCGUGGGGAGCAAACAGGAUUAGAUACCCUGGUAGUCCACGCCCUAAACGAUGCGAACUGGAUGUUGGUCUCAACUCGGAGAUCAGUGUCGAAGCUAACGCGUUAAGUUCGCCGCCUGGGGGAGUACGGUCGCAAGACUGAAACUCAAAUGAAUUGACGGGGUCAUAGCUGUUUCCUG